GAUGAACGCUGGCGGCGUGCCUAAUACAUGCAAGUCGAGCGAAUGGAUUAAGAGCUUGCUCUUAUGAAGUUAGCGGCGGACGGGUGAGUAACACGUGGGUAACCUGCCCAUAAGACUGGGAUAACUCCGGGAAACCGGGGCUAAUACCGGAUAACAUUUUGAACCGCAUGGUUCGAAAUCGAAAGGCGGCUUCGGCUGUCACUUAUGGAUGGACCCGCGUCGCAUUAGCUAGUUGGUGAGGUAACGGCUCACCAAGGCAACGAUGCGUAGCCGACCGGAGAGGGUGAUCGGCAACACUGGGACUGGGACACGGCCCAGACUCCUACGGGAGGCAGCAGUAGGGAAUCUUCCGCAAUGGACGAAAGUCUGACGGAGCAACGCCGCGUGAGUGAUGAAGGCUUUCGGGUCGUAAAACUCUGUUGUUAGGGAAGAACAAGUGCUAGUUGAAUAAGCUGGCACCUUGACGGUACCUAACCAGAAAGCCACGGCUAACUACGUGCCAGCAGCCGCCGUAA
rnacentral:rRNA from 1 species